rnacentral:rRNA from 1 species
GACAAAGUCCCAGCAGUAGCGGUCAUACUAUUGAAGAGCCGAGUGUUAUCCAUCCAUACAAGGCGUAAAAAGAGUUCGUUCU